CAAAAAAUAGUUUAAGUUUAAAAUACAAGUUUUGGGGACUUGUGUUGGGGGUACUUCCUCUUUUUUGA
rnacentral:tRNA from 1 species